CUUGCAGCGGAAAUGAAGAUGGAUGCCGAAUCAGCGUGAUCAGACAGAAAGCUUAUAUUUGCAGAAGCCCGUCCAGGUAGAGGGAAUCUGCCGCUUGACCAGUAUCACUGAUCGGGUCAGUGGUUAUCCCCAGUACCUCAAGGUCACUAUCACAGAGGAGUUCCCUCAUAGCAUCACUAUUCCAGGUGAACUCCAUCCCUAUAGUAUGAUGACAGGUUUACUCCAGAUACCCCAGGACUACAGCUGUUUUCUUAUUUAGAUGUUGUCCACUAAGUCACUGGUGGGGAUGAGAGCACUACCCUGCACAUAGACAUUGAAUGGAGCUGCCUGGUCCAUUAUCAGAAGAGUGGGCAGCACUUUGCACCCGAUCAAUGAAGUUUCUUGAGAAGCAUUACGAGGGACUUGUAUGAAUGGGCAGAAGAAAUUUUCUUAACUAACUACCCCACCAUUGCCUGGUGUUGGAGACUGAACACUUUAUUGAAAAUUGAUGGGAUGUAGGAAUCAGUGGAUGUCAUCAUUUGCCCUGAGAAGAGUCAGAGAAGGACUUGUAUGAAUAGGCAGAAUAAAUUUUCUUAACUAUCUACCCCACCAUUGCCUGGUGUUGGAGACUGAACAUUUUAUUGAAAAUUGAUGGGAUGUAGGAAUCAGUGGAUGUCAUCAUUUGUCCUGAGAAGAGUCAGAGAAGUAUUCAUUUUAUUAUAAAAAGUUAAGUUCAUGUAAAGAGCAUGAAGGCAGAUUUUACAGUUACCUCCCUUAACAGAAUUAACAGCAGAUUACAUGUAUCAGACUCUCCAGGAAUGCAU